AUUGAACGCUGGCGGCAGGCCUAACACAUGCAAGUCGAACGAGUGGCGGACGGGUGAGUAAUGUCUGGGAAACUGCCUGAUGGAGGGGGAUAACUACUGGAAACGGUAGCUAAUACCGCAUACCCUCAGAUGUGCCCAGAUGGGAUUAGGUAGUUGGGGGGGUAACGGCUCACCAAGGAGACGAUCCCUAGCUGGUCUGAGAGGAUGACCAGGCACAGUGGAACUGAGAAACGGUCCUGAGUACGACGGGAGGCAGCAGUGGGGAAUAUUGCACAAUAGGCGCAAGCCUGAUGCAGCCAUGCCGCGUGUAUGAAGAAGGCCUUCGGGUUGUAAAGUACUUUCAGCGGGGAGGCGUUACCCGCAGAAGAAGCACCGGCUAACUCCGUGCCAGCAGCCGCGGUAAUUC
rnacentral:rRNA from 1 species